CCAUCCAUCCAGCUCGGGGUCGCACUUCACUCCUCUCCCUGGUCAAACCGCAUUAAAGAAAAACAGAGGAGAAGAGUUAGAGCCGCCAAGUCCUGGUUGAGAAAACUCAAAAAAGUCCAUAAAGAAGUCUGCCCCGUCCUUUCAUCACUACCAGGUUGUGGCUGUUGAAACUCCACAGGGAAGCCCAGGAAUCAGACCUGAUUAAUCCCACAAAUGGACAGGAGACGAGGAAGAUCAUUUACACCCCAGUGUACCUCUCAUAGGUACUUCCACUGGAGGGACUGGUUUAUAAACUGAUGACUGACUGGGCAGAAGUUCAGUGCUCUCCAUAAAGUACUCUAUUCAGCUACUGAUAAGUUGGACUGGACUGGACCUCCAACUGUGGGAGUACUCAGAAGACGUUGAUGUAUAGCUGCUACACAAGCUUUGGUUAUCAUUUACUCAAAAAAUAAAUUUAAACUUUUUUGACCAUCCAAAAUAAUGUAUAAACCUACAUGCAGUUUCACUCAAGAGCUGUCAAGACAGAAGACUGUCGCCAUCCCUCCAAAACCCAACACACUACAGCAACGGUUUGUGCCUGCUAUCUUUAGGCAAUUGUGGGUACUGCAAGUAAUCACAAAUUACACAUGUAUGUACGUAUGUAUGCAUAUUUAGUUGUAUAUUAGCUGUAGUAAGUGUUUUA